CUAUGGUACCAAAGCGGUGUAGUCAGAAAUAGAACACUCUAUGAAGGUGAUAGACUGUGGCAUGCAGGGUUCUUCAGUGUAGAAAAUAUAAGUAACUCUAGCUAGAUUAAGUAGGAAGAAUUUAUUUCCAGGUAUUAGUAACAUGUCUUUGCAAAGGGUGGAAUAAGAUUAUAACUGGAACUUCUUAGAGAUAUUCUCAGAAUCAUUGCAUAACUAACCUGAAAAAGCAGCAACAUUUCUACCACUGACACAAGAGGCUUUCAGAGAUGAAAAUCUGUUGGAUGACACGCAGCUUACCCUUUCAAAGUUCCUCAAGGACCCCGGGGAAUGCAGCCAUCUGGAAUUUGCUGUCAUGCUGUGAUUUCUGCAGCAGGUGCACAGGAAACCUAGACAAAGAACUUUACAUUUGAAACCCCUGUGGUUCCCCAAUGGAGGUGUGGAGCCAGGAAACUCCUGCCUUUGAAACCACGCCCCUCGCAGACCCAGGAAGAGAGGUCCCUCACUUUGAUUGAUAUUUUUAACAUCCACAGGCAACUGACAAAAUCUUCUAAGCAAACAUACCCUAGAAUAACCACAGCAAGCCUUACUAAAGACUGGAAUAAAUAAUCCAUCAUGUGAAGCCAUAUAUGGAGAUCCAACAGAAACAAUAGCAAACAGGGAAAAAUGACCUUUCCAAAUGAAAAAAGCAAAAGCCAGUGAUUGAAUGCAUGAGCUUGCAAAUAAAGAUUUAAAAAUAGAAAUUCUAAUAAAACUCAGCAAACUCUAAGGAAACACAGAAAAUCAAUUCAAAACCUUAGAAAAAUUUAACAAAGGAGGCUGGGCCCGGUGGCUCACGCCUGUAAUUCCAGCAUUUUGGGAGGCUGAGGCAU